rnacentral:rRNA from 1 species
AACGUAGGUUCCGAGCGUUAUCCGGAAUGAUUGGGCGUAAAGCGUCCGCAGGUGGCUAUGUAAGUCUGCUGUUAAAGAGUCUAGCUCAACUAGAUAAGAGCAGUGGAAACUACAAGGCUAGAGUACGUUCGGGGCAGAGGGAAUUCCUGGUGUAGCGGUGAAAUGCGUAGAGAUCAGGAAGAACACCAGUGGCGAAGGCGCUCUGCUAGGCCGUAACUGACACUGAGGGACGAAAGCCAGGGGAGCAAACGGG